rnacentral:rRNA from 1 species
UGCGUAGGCGGUUUACUAAGUCAGAUGUGAAAGCCCCGGGCUUAACCUGGGAACUGCAUUUGAUACUGGUAGGCUAGAGUAUGAUAGAGGGGGGUAGAAUUCCUGGUGUAGCGGUGAAAUGCGUAGAUAUCAGGAGGAAUACCAGUGGCGAAGGCGGCCCCCUGGAUCAAUACUGACGCUGAGGUACGAAAGCGUGGGUAGCGAACAG